UACGUAGGUGGGCAACGUUGUCCGGAAUUAUUGGGCGUAAAGCGCGCGCAGGCGGUCCUUUAAGUCUGAUGUGAAAGCCCACGGCUCAACCGUGGAGGGUCAUUGGAAACUGGGGGACUUGAGUGCAGAAGAGGAGAGUGGAAUUCCUGGUGUAGCGGUGAAAUGCGCAGAUAUCAGGAAGAACACCAAUGGCGAAGGCAGCUCUCUGGGACGGUACUGACGCUGAGACGCGAAGCGUGGGGAGCGAACAG
rnacentral:rRNA from 1 species